ensembl:lncRNA
UUUGAAGUCCAGCAAGAGGAAUCCUGAGAAGGGACACAAAAUAGUCCUGAGUGGAUAUUUGCAGCUUGAUGGGGCAUUGCAGCACCAAAAUAAUCAUACAGUUUAGAGUUGUAUGUAAUGCCGUGUAUAUUAGUCUGCCAUUAUUCAUUAUAGCUCUGGAUAGUGAACACAUGCUGCGAUGUAUGACGGUGAGAAUUCAAUUUAAAUUCUUUUUAACUCCACACGGCUGAACAUGCUGUAUUUCCCCUCCGUGGAACCCUAAAAGAAUAAACACCAUGCCUCCUCAGUUUUAUGGCUCAACUUCAAAUACAACAAGGCACGCCUGCUUGCUAAAAAACACAAUUACCAAGGAUUACCAUGAUGGCAGUGUUUGCUCUGACAGCAACAGGAGAUAGGAGCACUUGUGUGCAUUUUGAAUGGAGGGAAAUCUCCAGUGUGGUCCAGCUGUGGUUUUUCUCACACCGACAGAAUCCGGUUGAUGCUGGCAACAGUUCACACUGUAUUUAUAAUUCGAUGUCACUGACGUUUGAGGCCGAGGUUUGCAGCAGAGCCAUGAAACAUUUUAGGAG